UAUAUAGAUAAAUUUUUUAUAUUUUUCAUAAUUUAUUAUAAAUUUAUUUUACAUGUAAAUUUUAGUAUGAAAUUUUAAUUAUUUUAAAAAUAAUUAAUUUAAAAUAAACAGUAAUUAAAAUUAAAAAUUUAAGAAAUUAAGAUUUAGUAAUAUUUAAAUUAAUAACUAAUUUUGUGCCAGCAGUUGCGGUUAAACAAAAGUUAAAUUAAAUUAUUUCAGUUUAUAAUAAAUAAAUAAAUAAUUAAAUUAAAUAUUAAAUUAUUAGGUAAAAUUUUAAUUUAAUUAAAAAUUAUUUUUAACUUAUGAUUUAAUAAAUUUUGUUAUAAACUAGGAUUAGAUACCCUAUUAUUAAAAAUUUAAUUAAAAAUACUAAAAUAGUAAAUAAAAUAUUAUUGAAACUUAAAUAAUAUGGCGGUAUUUUAGUUCAUUUAGAGGAAUCUGUCUAGUAAUUGAUAAUCCACGAAUAAAUUUACUUAAUUUAUAAUUUUGUAUAUCAUUGUUAAAAAAAUAUUUUUAAAUAAAAAUAAUAUUUUAAAAUUUAAAAUAAAAUUUAAUUCAGAUCAAGAUGCAGAUUAUACUUAAGUUUAAGAUGGAUUACAAUAAAUUUAUUUAAACGAAAAAAAUUUUGUAAUAUUUGAUUGAAGGUGGAUUUAAAUGUAAUUUUAAUUAAUUUAUUAAAAUGAUUAAAAAUUAAAAUAUGUACAUAUUGCCCGUCACUUUCAUUUAAAAAUUGAAAUAAGUCGUAACAAAGUAGAAGUACUGGAAAGUGUUUCUAGAAUGAA
rnacentral:ncRNA from 1 species